rnacentral:tRNA from 1 species
AAAAAAAUAAGCUAACAAAGCUAAUGAAUUCAUACUUCAUUUAUAAAGGUCAAAUCCUUUUUUUUUUA